GGUGGACGCUGGCGGCGUGCUUAAGACAUGCAAGUCGAACGCAGUCUUCGGACUGAGUGGCGCACGGGUGAGUAACACGUAACUGACCUACCCCCAAGUCGCGGAUAACUGGCCGAAAGGUCAGCUAAUACGUGAUGUGAUGUCCCCUUUCUGGGGGGCCAUUAAAGGUUUACUGCUUGGGGAUGGGGUUGCGUUCCAUCAGCUAGUUGGCGGGGUAAAGGCCCACCAAGGCAACGACGGAUAGCCGGCCUGAGAGGGUGGCCGGCCACAGGGGCACUGAGACACGGGUCCCACUCCUACGGGAGGCAGCAGUUAGGAAUCUUCCACAAUGGGCGAAAGCCUGAUGGAGCGACGCCGCGUGAGGGAUGAAGGUUCUCGGAUCGUAAACCUCUGAAUCAGGGACGAAAGACGCGUAAGCGGGAUGACGGUACCUGAGUAAUAGCACCGGCUAACUACGUGCCAGCCGCCGCGGUAA
rnacentral:rRNA from 1 species